AUCGGCAAAGAGGCCUAGGAUCGGCAAGGCCUGCAAACUGCAGAGCUCUUCUCUCCCCGCCUCUCAGCUGAUCUGCGAGUGAGCGGGGCUUCCAGAGAGGCCUCCGAGUAGGCCUCCCUGAAGCCUGAACUCGAGUAGGCCCCAAGCAAGGAAGGAAAGAAGGAAGGAGGCAGCAGACCCUCUGCCCAGACCAGACCAUCCAGAACAGCUAUUGCUAGGUAUUGCCUUCUGAACUUCCAAGCACCCGAAGCCAUUCCAUCUCUGAAAUCAAAUGUGUUUGGGCUUCAUCAGGACUUGUAUGGAAAGUCACCCCAACAGAUGUUGCUCCAAGCUCCAUACAGGAAAGGUGUGUAGAAGAAAGAAAGAAAAAACAAUGUUUGGAGGCAGAUGUGAGAGAAGCUGGUAGGAAAAGGUUUAACAUUUUUAUUAAAAAAUAAAUGCAAGUCAACCAAUCUUACAUCAACUUUACACCAAGAACACAGUCAGUGAAGGGCAUGAGAAAAAACAUAGUAAAUAUAACUUAAUCUGCUCUCCCCUUCGAACCUUGUGGUGUACUUUAAAAACCUUGUCAGCAAAAAAGGUGACCAAAGGGCAAGUAAAGUGCAAUGGAACAAAUGACACUUUUACUGGGUGCCGGAUUUACUAGUUGUAUUUUACCUGCAGUUUGCAAAGAACUUUUAAAAACUGAAUUUUGAAAUUGUGACACUUCUUGUAGAAAUAAAUGCUCUUUAGAUAUUGUUA